rnacentral:rRNA from 1 species
UUCCGUAGGUGAACCUGCGGAGGUUCUACUGAGUGUGGGCUGCCUCCGGGCGCCCAACCUCCCACCCGUGACUACCAAACACUGUUGCUUCGGCGGAAGCCUCCCCUGGGAGCGACCGCCGGAGACCACUGAACUUCUUUGUUUAAGCAUGAUCUCUGAGCUUGAAUAAGCAAAAUUAAUUAAAACUUUCAACAAUGGAUCUCUUGGUUCCGGCAUCGAUGAAGAACGCAGCGAACUGCGAUAAGUAAUGCGAAUUGCAGAAUUCAGUGAAUCAUCGAGUCUUUGAACGCACAUUGCGCCCCCUGGCAUUCCGGGGGGCAUGCCUGUCCGAGCGUCAUUACUGCCCAUCAAGCGCGGCUUGUGUGUUGGGUCCUCGUCUCUUCCGGGAGACGGGCCCGAAAGGCAGCGGCGGUACCGUCCGGUCCUCGAGCGUAUGGGGCUUUGUCACCCGCUCGAAUAGGGCCCGGCCGGCGCCAGCCGUCAACCCAUUUUUUCUUCAGGUUGACCUCGGAUCAGGUAGGGAUACCCGCUGAACUUAAGCAUAUCAAUACG